rnacentral:ribozyme from 13 species
UUUUUUUUUUUUUUUUUUUUUUUUUUUUUUUUUCA